GACGAACGCUGGCGGCGUGCCUAAUACAUGCAAGUCGAACGCAGUGGGGACGGGUGAGUAACACGUGGGUAACCUCCCAUCAGAGGGGAUAACACUUGGAAACAGGUGCUAAACCGAUACGGAUGGCUGGACCCGCGGUGCAUUAGCUAGUUGGUGAGGUAACGGCUCACCAAGGCCACGAUCCAUAGCCGGCCUGAGAGGGUGAUCAGCCACACGGGGACUGAGACACGGCCCAGAUCCCUACGGGAGGCAGCAGUAGGGAAUAUUCGGCAAUGGACGAAAGUCUGACGGAGCAACGCCGCGUGAGUGAAGAAGGUCUUCGGAUCGUAAAGCUCUGUUGUUAGAGAAGCGGUACCUAAAGAAAAAGCACCGGCUAACUACGUGCCAGCAGCCGCGGUAAUAC
rnacentral:rRNA from 1 species